UACGUAGGGUGCAAGCGUUGUCCGGAAUUAUUGGGCGUAAAGAGCUCGUAGGCGGUCAGCACAAGUCAGUUGUGAAAUCUCCGGGCUUAACUCGGAAAGGUCAACUGAUACUGUGCGACUAGAGUGCAGAAGGGGCAACUGGAAUUCUCGGUGUAGCGGUGAAAUGCGUAGAUAUCGAGAGGAACACCUGCGGCGAAGGCGGGUUGCUGGGCUGACACUGACGCUGAUGCGCGAAAGCCAGGGGAGCGAACGGG
rnacentral:rRNA from 1 species